rnacentral:SRP_RNA from 1 species
GGGCGGGUCCUGUGCGAUAGGCAGCCAUGAAUCAUGUCAGGCGGGGAACCGAGCAGCAUUAAGUGGAUAUGUCCAUGCGCCGCAGUAAAUCGGUUCGUU